UUAGCAAAUGAGGCCCCUCAUGGGGGGUCCUAGUAAUCACAUAAUCACCAUUUUUUUUGCCAAUAUAAUCACAUAAUCAUUAAAUAUUUGCUUAUCUUUAGUAAUCAAAUAAUCAUAAACUAAAAAUACAGUCCUAGGUAAUCAAAUAAUCAUGAAAUAUUUGGCUUAAUAAUCAAAUAAUCAUUAAAAAAACGGCCAAGUAAUCACAUAAUCAAAAACCCCAUGAGGGCCCUC
rnacentral:lncRNA from 1 species